rnacentral:rRNA from 2 species
CAUGCAAGUCGAGCGGAAGAUGGGAGCUUGCUCCCUGAUGUUAGCGGCGGACGGGUGAGUAACACGUGGGUAACCUGCCUGUAAGACUGGGAUAACUCCGGGAAACCGGGGCUAAUACCGGAUGGUUGUUUGAACCGCAUGGUUCAAACAUAAAAGGUGGCUUCGGCUACCACUUACAGAUGGACCCGCGGCGCAUUAGCUAGUUGGUGAGGUAACGGCUCACCAAGGCAACGAUGCGUAGCCGACCUGAGAGGGUGAUCGGCCACACUGGGACUGAGACACGGCCCAGACUCCUACGGGAGGCAGCAGUAGGGAAUCUUCCGCAAUGGACGAAAGUCUGACGGAGCAACGCCGCGUGAGUGAUGAAGGUUUUCGGAUCGUAAAGCUCUGUUGUUAGGGAAGAACAAGUACCGUUCGAAUAGGGCGGUACCUUGACGGUACCUAACCAGAAAGCCACGGCUAACUACGUGCCAGCAGCCGCGGUAAUACGUAGGUGGCAAGCGUUGUCCGGAAUUAUUGGGCGUAAAGGGCUCGCAGGCGGUUUCUUAAGUCUGAUGUGAAAGCCCCCGGCUCAACCGGGGAGGGUCAUUGGAAACUGGGGAACUUGAGUGCAGAAGAGGAGAGNGGAAUUCCACGUGUAUCGNCUGCCCUGCCCCUAGAUGUUUACCAACCCCNUUGGCCCANGCUNNUCUCUGGCCUGCUACUGACGCUUAGUAGCGAAAGCUUGG